GGAUGUGAGGGCUAUCUGGCUGCGACAUCUGUCACCCCAUUGAUCGCCAGGGUUGAUUUGGCUGAUCUGGCUGGCUAGGCAGGUGUCCCCUUCCUCCCUCAACAUUCAAUGUGCAUCCCUCCCAAAGCUGCACGCUUGGUCGAAGAGGACGUCCAACCCCGAUAGAGGAGGACUGUUCCUCGGUCAAGGGUGUACGAGGAGCUGUGCUCCCCUGCUAGAACCUCCAAACAGGCUCUCAAGGUUAGAGAUUGUACGUAAAGAAGAGUAGGCCAGGGGCCCACCAGUGAGGAAAACAAUCACAAAACCCAUGUUCUACUGA
rnacentral:snRNA from 1 species